ensembl:misc_RNA Metazoa_SRP Metazoan signal recognition particle RNA
GCUGGGCGUGGUGGCGGGCGCCUGUAAUCCCAGCUACAUGGGAGGCUGAGGCAGGAGAAUCGCUUGAACCUGGGAGGCGGAGGUUGCAGUGAGCCCAGAUCACUCCACUGCACUCCAGCCUGGGCAACAGAGUGAGACUCUGUCUCAA